GACAUAGCUGCGAGUGACUGUGCUGGUGGUGUUCAAGAUGACCAAGAAUUUCCAAGUCAGUGACGGGGACUGGAUUUGCCCUGACAAAAGAUGUGGAAAUGUAAACUUUGCUAGAAGAACCAGUUGUAAUCGACGUGGUCGGGAGAAAACAACUGAGGCCAAGAUGAUGGAAACUGGGGGCACUGAAACAGAAAAGACACUUGCAGAAAAGAGCCGAGGCCUAUUUAGUGCUAAUGACUGGCAACAUAAAACUUGCAGCAAUGUGAAUUGGGUGAGAAGAUCAGAGUGUAAUAUGUGUAAUACUCCAAAGUAUGCUGAAUUAGAAGAAAAAACAGGAUAUGGUGGUGGUUUUAAUGAAAGAGAAGAAUCUGAUGGUGAAUAUGAUGAGUUUGGACAUAAAAAGAAAAAAUACAGAGGGAAAGCAGUUGGUCCUGCAUCUAUAUUAAAGGAAGUAGAAGAUAAAGAAUCAGAGCAAGAAGAGGAUGAGGAUGAAGAUCUUUCUAAAUAUAAAUUAGACGAGGAUGAGGAUGAAGAUGAUGCUGAUCUCUCAAAAUAUAAUCUUGAUGCCAGUGAAGAAGAAGGUGGUAAUAAAAAGAAAUCUAAUUAACGAAGUCACUGAAAGUCUCGAUCUUCACAUUCACGAUCUUGAUCAUGCUCAUCUAGGUCCAGGUCCUGUUCAAGAAGUUCUUUCAGUUCACAGUCAACAUUUCAUUCCAGUUCCAGAGAACAUUUGAGAUCUUGUAGGUUAAAAUCAAGAUCCAGCUCCAGGUCCCACAGGGGCUCUUUUUCCCCACGAAAAAUACCUUAUUCAGGUUCAUCAUUUUCUCCUGAGAGGAACAGAAAGAGAAUUUGUUCUAGAUCUUCUUCAUCUGGUGAUUGCAAAAAAAGAUGAACAAGAUCACGGUCAUCCGAAAGACGCCACAGGUCGUCUUCUGGAUCAUCCUAUUCUGAUUCCUGUUCAAGUUCAAAAAAGAAAUAAUGCAUUAAAAUUUACAUCUUAAAAAAAUCCAGUACAGUGCAUGAAGCAUAUUUUUAAAGAAGUUGGUGUCUUACUUGGUCAG